AACAUAGCCUUUAGCCUAACAAGUAUUAAAGGUCCCGCCUGCCCAGUGAUCCUUAAACGGCCGCGGUAUCCUAACCGUGCAAAGGUAGCAUAAUCACUUGUCCCCUAAAUAGGGACUAGAAUGAAUGGCUACAUGAGGACUACCCUGUCUCUUGUAUUUAACCAAUGAAACUGAUCUUUCAGUUCAAAAGCUGAAAUAAUUCCAUAAGACGAGAAGACCCUGUGGAGCUUACCAAACUAAGCUCACAAAAAUGUCCACUUAGUUUUUAGUUGGGGCGACUUCGGAGUACAAAAAAACCUCCGACAAUCUCACAAGAUAAACAUAUCGACACCUAUCUUUCUGACCCAGUAAUCUAAUAAUUACCUGAUCAAUGAACUAAGUUACCCCAGGGAUAACAGCGCCAUCCUCUUCAAGAGUCCCCAUCGACAAGAGGGUUUACGACCUCGAUGUUGGAUCAGGACACCCAAAUAGUGCACCCGCUAUUAAUGGUUCGUUUGUUCAACGAUUAAAGUCCUACGUGA
rnacentral:rRNA from 1 species